rnacentral:lncRNA from 1 species
AUGGGAGGUCCUGUGACCUUGCUGGCCACGAUGCUUUGGCGUGGCUUGCUAUUGACCAAACAGCCAUCGGCUUUCCCUCUAAAUGUUUCAACUGAUGGUGAUUGUUGCCGGAACCACUUAUUUGAUUCGAAGUUACAGACUUGUGUUGAUCUAAUUUCAUCCCUCUUCCCACAUUUAUUUGCAGGAAUUCUUGCCCUCAGCAGCUGGGCUGAUGUAUGGACCCUGCAUGAAAGACAGGAAAAUCGUGGCGUUCUUUCCUGUCCAUCGGUGGCCGCCCUCUGCAGCAGUGACCUGGCCCUUCUUGGAUGUGAGGCCCAGAUCAAGGCAGGAGAGAGAAGAAGCCUGAGGAAGUGCAGGAGAGACUUCGCUUGUUCUGGAAUAGUAUCCAACAGCAUUGGGUGCAAUGGAUCCAUGGAGGAAACACCCCUAAACACAAACACCCCCUCACACACAACAAAAAAAGGCGGAGCAUACAAACAUGGAAGUGGUGUUGCUCGAGCAGAUGGGGGUCUGGUGGAUGCCGGAGGAACGUCAACGUCCAUACUGAUUAUGCCGUCCCAGCUCUUUGGUUAGGAUGGCAGGGGUCCCGUGUGGCCCAGGGAGGUUCCUAGGGCUGGGGCAUCUCCACCCACCGUGGACAUGAGGAUCCUGGGCCUCCUGAGGGCCGUCUUCCCUUGGACUGACUAUGUUGGCUUCCUGGGGAGUCCUGCUUCUUCUACAAUCUUCCCAACCCCGUCCCCCAUUACAAACAGAAGACAAAUGUCUUCCGGUGUCCCGAAAUCUGCCCCUUCAUUGCUUUUCCUCAUCGGGGGAAGCAUGGCCCCGAGUGGCCCGGCGCUGUGGGCGGGGCUGCCUAGGGGACAUUUGCGCUUGUCUUCACACCUCUGCCAAUGAGACCUUCUUGGGAGGGGCUGGGGGCCUGGGAGCUCCACGGCUGUCGCUGUGGGCGGGGACUUCUGAAGGUGGGGUGGGGAGACCUGAGGUGUGAAACGGUACCCCAGGGGCAGCCUCCUUGCGGGGGGGAGACAGCUUGGCCUGGGGCUUACGUGCUCAGGCGAGGGCCCGCUCUGUGUCUGACCUUGGGUGAGCUGCCUCUGUGAGUCUCACUGUGUCACCUGUAAAAUGGGCCCAGGGCUUCCUCCCUCAGAGGAUGGGGUGCAUGAGGUAAUGGGCAAAGAUUGUAUUUCACAUCCUUAAGUUGGUGUCGAUCCUGGCAGGGUUUUAUUUACGUUUAGUUAAGUCUGACUCUGGGAGAAGCGUGAAGGCAGGCCCAGCCAUCAGCCGCUCCUCUUCAAAGCUGCCACAAAGACUUUGUACAGUUCACAGCUUUGGGGACAGUCUCUGGGCUACACGGUUACCAUGGAGAUGCCCUCUGCCAUGCCCUGUGGUCUCCUGGAGUCCUGUGGCUUCUGUGGCCCCUUAGGACCAGCGUCCCCCCUCUCGAGGACACACACCAUGGCCAUGCCCUUCCUUGGGUUCUCUGAGUCAGGGGCUCUGGGAGGUCACUCCCCAGAAGACCUGGGGGGCAUUGCCCUUCCCUGCCUCAGAGAUGUUGGCGUUCCUCUCCCUGCCCCCCCCCCCGGGAUGUCCAGCAUAAUCUCCCCCUCUGUGUGGGUUUUGACAGAAAGAGACCAUUUCAGGGGACCUUCGGCUUUGGCUCCAACACUAUGGUCUCCCAGAGGCAAGAAGAGCUAAUGCCUGGCUUCCUUCCAGGACUUGGAGUGGAAAUACAGAGAACAAACCCCAGCAGACUCCAUCUAGCAGCCUCACCCACGUGGAGUGGUGUGGGAGCUGCCCUCUUCUUCCUGGGCUCUUCCUCUCCCAGCCAUCAGUUGCCUCUCACCCCACACCUGGGGCACAAACUGGAACAGCUCUGGGUGAUUUUGGCUGGGAUAUUUCAUCUCAUUCUUGCACUCAUUUCCCAGGUGAGAAAGCUGAAGCUCAGGGAACCUUGCUCGUUCAAGGUCACACAGCUUGUUUGUUAAAUUGAGCCAAGAUCUACUUUUCGGUCUUGGAACCUCCUCUUCUCCCCCCUGACCCCUGACCGACAAGGAAACCUUAGCAUUGCUGAUUAAGUCUUAAAUUAUAGUUUUAUCAUAAAGGUAAUACUUGCUUAAAUAUAGAAAGAGACAUUAGAAAAUGCAGAGAAAAACAUAAAAGUCACUGUCCCCCAAAUCCAGUAAUAAAACACAUACAGUUGACCCUUGAACA